rnacentral:rRNA from 1 species
UACAGGGGGGGCAAGCGUUGUUCGGAAUUACUGGGCGUAAAGGGUCUGUAGGUGGCCAACUAAGUCAGACGUGAAAUCCCUCAGCUUAACUGGGGAACUGCGUCUGAUACUGGAUGGCUUGAGUGUGGGAGAGGAAUGCGGAAUUCCAGGUGUAGCGGUGAAAUGCGUAGAUAUCUGGAGGAACACCGGUGGCGAAGGCGGGUCUCUGGGCCGAUACUGACACUGAGGAGCGAAAGCGUGGGAGCGAACAGG